GAUGAACGCUGGCGGCAUGCCUAAUACAUGCAAGUCGAACGAGAGGAAGGAAAGCUUGCUUUUCAACUUUAGCGGCGGACGGGUGAGUAACACGUGGGCAACCUGCCCUGCAGAUCGGGAUAACUCCGGGAAACCGGUGCUAAUACCGAAUAGUUUUCGCCACCUCCUGGUGGCGUACGGAAAGACGGUUUCGGCUGUCACUGCAGGAUGGGCCCGCGGCGCAUUAGCUAGUUGGUGGGGUAACGGCCCACCAAGGCGACGAUGCGUAGCCGAGCUGGGGGGGUGAUCGGCCACACUGGGACUGAGACACGGCCCAGACUCCUACGGGAGGCAGCAGUAGGGAAUCUUCCGCAAUGGACGAAAGUCUGACGGAGCAACGCCGCGUGAGUGACGAAGGUUUUCGGAUCGUAAAACUCUGUUGUGAGGGAAGAACAAGUACCAAUUAACUACUGGUACCUUGACGGUACCUCACCAGAAAGCCACGGCUAACUACGUGCCAGCCGCCGCAGUAACAC
rnacentral:rRNA from 1 species